rfam:Thiobacillus sp. 65-1059 scnpilot_expt_750_p_scaffold_871, whole genome shotgun sequence.
UCGGGGCGCCAGCCCCCGGCGUCUGAGCUCCGCUCGCAAGACGGUGUCCCGUCCAAGUCUGG